UAUUUAUUUCUACCAAUAUCUACUUAUUUAUGAACUCUACAAAUUUUUCAAAAAAAUUUGCCUAGCGCUAGGCCUUUACCGUUGUGUUACCAUGGUUACAUGCCCAUUUCCAUUACCUGCGAAUGUGACCGCAAUUUAAAAUCGUGAUCUAACCUACAAAAGCUAAGGGGUAUGAAAAGCUGGAACUCUUAAGAGGAGUUUCUCAAUUCUUUUGUCCUUUUAUAAACAAUUUCAAGAUUAUCCAUCAAUAAUGGAACGAUACAACAUGAUCAAAGAUGCAUCCACCGAUUCUAGAAAAAAUUGCAAAUCAUAAGGAGCAAGCACAAAAGUUAUAAUAUAAUUCCUGGCAACAAAGUAAAACGUAUCCAUCAAACUCACUAAGCAAGUUUGCAUAUGUCCUCAUACUCCACAGCCUUGAGCACUCUUCCAUCAUAAAUCCCCUUCUCUACCUGCACCUUGGCGCAAAACUUCUCUGUAUCCACUCCUAACAACCUCGCCUUUGAUCCCCUGUAGGCUCCAUUAACUAUUCUGACCAGACCCCCUAUCUGUGGAAUUACAGUCUCAAGCUCUUCCUGGUCAACUCUCAACACAUGCUUACUCUCAAGCAUCUCAAUUUCCCCAACAUACUUAUCAAUCACUUUCCUCACAACCCCUUUCUGCUUAUAAUAACCUUUCUCUGACAAUGUCUUACUCAUCACCUUAACAAUUAUCCCUUCACAUAGCCAAUAAUCCUUCCGAUUACUCCUCUCCUUUGCCUUCUCUUCCUCCCUCAUCAACUCGUCCAAUGCUGAUUUCCCACUCUUACCCGUGUCAGCAUUCUCUUUAUUUUUUGCAUUAUUUCUUUCCUUCUCCUCAAUUUCUUCAAAUAUCAAUCGAGAAGAACUCUCUCCUUUUUCCUUACCAACACUAAUUUUCGAACCAAAAGCAAAGCCAAUCCUAACCCCACCCUCCAACUUCAAUUCCUUAGCUGCAGGCUCCACCACUUCAGUACUCUCUUUCACGUCAUCCCCAUUUCCGACUUUUGUCAAAAAUUGCUCAGCUUUCUCAAUCUGCUUCUGUAUUUCCCUCUCUUGCUUCUCCUCCUCAGCCAUAUCCGCUUUAAUUCUCUUAUUCUUCAUCUUCUCCUUAAAAAGGGUCUCUGAAUCUCUAUCAAUAUAAGUGAUAAACCACCCUUUCGGUGUCUCCUCAACCUUGCACUUCCCCGUCCGACCCAAGUACUUAACGAACUCCGUCAAAGUAGCCCACUGCGUGGAGUUCAUAUGAACGUGAUGCCUAUCAUGGAUAUACUCAUUGUAAACGACAGUAGCAGCCACCCGUGAGAAACGGUGGCUCCGCCUCAUUAGGUCAAGGAAGCCGUUCUCGAACUCCUCAGAGUAGCCUUCGACGAUUCGGUGAGGGUUUUGGCCGAAGAUUUGCAUCUGACGCUGGUGGCUCUCGCUCAUACAGUGGCACUUGAAGCCGUUCUCGUCGCGGCACUGCUUCUGGCACAUCUGGCAGUACCAUCGGAGCUUCUGGAGACCUUUGGCUUUGAUUCGAUUAGCGAUUGCUUUUGGGGUGAGAAAAUCAUUCUUGCCCAUUUGAGAUCAGAGAUAAAUAAAACUCGAAGACAGGAGUUAAGAAGGUUUUCAGAGAUUUGCAGCGGCGAUUUUGAAUCGAAUUGACGAAUUGAAUCGAUUUUUUUACUGGGAAAAGAAAAGGGUAGAGAGCUUAGGAAGAGAGAGGAAGAGGAACUCUUUUUCUUUCCCGAAAAGAGGACUCCAAC
rnacentral:misc_RNA from 1 species